AUUGAACGCUGGCGGCAGGCUUAACACAUGCAAGUCGAGCGGAAACGAUGUAGCUUGCUACCGGCGUCGAGCGGCGGACGGGUGAGUAACGCGUAGGAAUCUGCCUAGUAGUGGGGGACAACAUGUGGAAACGCAUGCUAAUACCGCAUACGCCCUACGGGGGAAAGGAGGGGAUCUUCGGACCUUUCGCUAUUAGAUGAGCCUGCGUAAGAUUAGCUAGUUGGUAGGGUAAAGGCCUACCAAGGCGACGAUCUUUAACUGGUCUGAGAGGAUGGUCAGUCACACUGGGACUGAGGCACGGCCCAGACUCCUACGGGAGGCAGCAGUGGGGAAUAUUGGACAAUGGGCGCAAGCCUGAUCCAGCCAUGCCGCGUGUGUGAAGAAGGCCUUAGGGUUGUAAAGCACUUUCAGGGGUGAGGAAGGGUGUUUGGUUAAUAUCCAAACAUUUUGACGUUAGCCCCAGAAGAAGCACCGGCUAACUCUGUG
rnacentral:rRNA from 1 species